ensembl:ncRNA C37C3.16 ncRNA
CAGCCAGCCCCAUCAAGCCUCUUCGGGCAUCGACGCAUAGACACACAUCAUUUUGCCCCAAUUUCCUUUCAUUCCGUCAAGUAUUUCGCAACUAAUCGUU